GCAGCGACGCCGCGUGAGGGAUGACGGCCUUCGGGUUGUAAACCUCUUUCAGUAGGGAAGAAGCGAAAGUGACGGUACCUGCAGAAGAAGCACCGGCUAACUACGUGCCAGCAGCCGCGGUAAUACGUAGGGUGCGAGCGUUAUCCGGAAUUAUUGGGCGUAAAGAGCUCGUAGGCGGUUUGUCGCGUCUGUCGUGAAAGUCCGGGGCUUAACCCCGGAUCUGCGGUGGGUACGGGCAGACUAGAGUGCAGUAGGGGAGACUGGAAUUCCUGGUGUAGCGGUGGAAUGCGCAGAUAUCAGGAGGAACACCGAUGGCGAAGGCAGGUCUCUGGGCUGUAACUGACGCUGAGGAGCGAAAGCAUGGGGAGCGAACAGGAUUAGAUACCCUGGUAGUCCAUGCCGUAAACGUUGGGCACUAGGUGUGGGGACCAUUCCACGGUUUCCGCGCCGCAGCUAACGCAUUAAGUGCCCCGCCUGGGGAGUACSGCCGCAAGGCUAAAACUCAAAGGAAUUGACGGGGGCCCGCACAAGCGGCGGAGCAUGCGGAUUAAUUCGAUGCAACGCGAAGAACCUUACCAAGGCUUGACAUGUUCUCGAUCGCCGUAAGAUACGGUUUCCCCUUUGGGGCGGGUUCACAGGUGGUGCAUGGUUGUCGUCAGCUCGUGUCGUGAGAUGUUGGGUUAAGUCCCGCAACGAGCGCAACCCUCGUUCCAUGUUGCCAGCACGUCGUGGUGGGGACUCAUGGGAGACUGCCGGGGUCAACUCGGAGGAAGGUGAGGACGACGUCAAAUCAUCAUGCCCCUUAUGUCUUGGGCUUCACGCAUGCUACAAUGGCCGGUACAAUGGGUUGCGAUACUG
rnacentral:rRNA from 1 species